UGUGGGUGUUUGUUAGUGUGUUUGGUGUGGGUGUCUGUUAGUGUAAACACCCACACCAAACACACUAACAGACUCCCACA
rnacentral:pre_miRNA from 1 species